GAUCCUGGCUCAGGAUGAACGCUGGCGGCGUGCUUAACACAUGCAAGUCGAGCGAUGAAGUUUCCUUCGGGAAACGGAUUAGCGGCGGACGGGUGAGUAACACGUGGGUAACCUGCCUCAUAGAGUGGAAUAGCCUUCCGAAAGGAAGAUUAAUACCGCAUAACGUUGAAAGAUGGCAUCAUCAUUCAACCAAAGGAGCAAUCCGCUAUGAGAUGGACCCGCGGCGCAUUAGCUAG
rnacentral:rRNA from 1 species